CAAUGGGAAGAUGGGGAUCAACAGGCUGCUUAUUCCUGCUCUGAGGCCAGCAGAGGCUUUUGCCGUGUGCCCGGAGAGUGGAACAGUGGAUGGAGAUUCAUUAACUCCUGGUCUGGAUAAGGUGAAGCCGUUCCUGCAGUAGGUUCCUUGGAUAGUGCCGCAGUAGGCAAGUCCUUGUUGCUUUUCUUACUCGGGCUUCUUUUCCCUGCCUUCGGUAUAGCUAAGUGUGGUCUAAUAACCUUUUUACACCCUUUUUGAAAUAAUUAAAUGAUUGCAAAGUUCUGACCUGCAAACAGACCAAGUUGGAAAGAGUGCGACUUUGCAGAAGAGUUUUUUUCAGACGUGCGAUCGUACUUUGACAGAUUAAAGCAAGGAGCAACGCUGUCUGCGUGGAACCUGCCAAGUGCCCGAGCUGUCCCUCUCACCAGAUUUGCCCGCCGUGGAUGCGUUGUGUUCCCGUUGGGGGACACCCAUGUGCGCAUGGAGCCCUCGGCGUUGUGCGGGGCAGGGACGGCUUCUAGGCUGAGCCUGGGAGCGCUGGGGAGGCGCGUGGGACCACAGAGAACCGUCGCAGGCUUAGUCACCAGCGUGAAGGAACAGCGAAGUUCUGCGCUUUGGGAGCUGCGUGCCGACACAAAUGCGCAAAACGCCUCCAGCAUCGCACCUGGGACCCGGAGCCCCUGUCAGCGCAGGGGUGAAAACGAGAACGAAAUUAGCUCCUGGGAGGUUCCGCCGAGCUCCGGAGCAAGCUGGGCUGUCUGCCCCGAGAGCUGCCGUGUCCCCACGUAGUUCCUGAUGACGAUGUUCGUCCUGCCAUUGCCUCCUGCCUUAGAUGUCGCCUGUGGAUCGCUUCCCCCUCUGAUGCUGACCUGCCGUACGAAUUAGACCCGUAGAUGGUUUGUUUCUGCCUCUCUCGUCCUCUGUGAAGGGCUGGAGCGAGCCCUCAGCGAGCCUUUGCAAAUCAUCACCGGGGAGUUUGAACGCACCUGCCUCGGUGGAGUUGCGCAGAUAUUAAACCCAUGCAGACAGCUGUCCAUGAAACGGCAUUCCGCUCUGCAGGAGAGCGUGCCGGAGAUAACGAAGCAGAGAACAACGUGAAUUCUUUUGUUUGUGGCCAGGAAGGGGCCGUUAGUGCUGCCCAGCUGCUUUGCUGCCCGAAUCACACACCUGAAGCCACUUUCCAGCCCUGCUUUGCUCCAGCCCUGCUCCAUCCUGCACUUGCUGGUGCAGGGGCGGCCAGGCAGGUCCCCGGGCAGCGGCUCAGCGUCACCGAGAGGCUUUGCUUUCCCCGGGAUGGAGGUUAGCUGGUACGGGCGAAGGUCAGUGGGGCUUCUGUUGCAGGAUGUGGUGGAUCUGCAGCGACAGGUACUGGCGGUUUCUUAGCAAUAGUCCUCCCAACUUGUUCCCCUUUGUUACUCUCUUGUCCUUCCUCCAUCUUCUCCCAAGACAUUUUCACCGUCCCACUGGCGGGGGGGGCGCUGGAGAUCAAAAUGUCUGUGUCUCACCCCCCCCCCCCCCCAAUCAAUGUUGUUUGCUGGUACAAAGUGCCUGGCACCAGUUGCCCCAGGAGGCUGUAAGGGUUUGGUGGGGGUGUGAAAAAGCUCAUGUGGAUCCUGCUCUGUCCCGGAGGUGGUGGUGACCAUGUGGCAUCCAGGGAGACCCCCCAGGGCAAACUCAAGUCAAAUGGAGCUGCCAGGAGACGGAGAAGCACGGCCCCACUCAUCCAGCCUGCUUCUUGGGGCUCACUGAAAGCUGGCAUCGCUUCUCGGAAGCUUCAGCAUCUCUUCAACCCCUAAAAAUAUUUCGUGGGUAAUAUCUGCAGGGCCCACGGUAUUUUUUUUAAUAAUUUCCCUUUUUCUUUUUUUUGUCAUUUGCAUUAUAUUUCUGGCUGUGUGAUUCAGUGAGGUGCCGUAUGCCUCGACUGUCAUCUCCAGGCCAGUCUGUAGGAAGGAUUUGCACCUCACCCCCAAGGCAAAUGCUCCGCAAGCUUCAUCUCGUUGUAGUGUUUUGGAGGAAGUGAAGAUGGAUGCAUAUUACACCAAAAUUUCACUGUCUCUUCCUCCCCCACAUUUUAGGAGAAUAUGUAUAAAUCUCUGCUGUGUCCUCUUUUGUCUGUUAAAUGUAGCAGUAUGGAAAAUGUUAUUUCAGUUUUAUCUAUUUUAAAAUGAUCGUAUGGAUUAACAAACCAAGCAGAAGGUCUCUGCUGCUGUUUAACUUGCUGUCACUGUGUCCUUUUGGAAGACUCGGGGCUGCAGGUCACUGGAAGAGCUUCCUAUUUCUGCUGUAUCGUAUUUCUGACAGUAACGCUGGAGGUGCCAGUGCCGACCUGUUUGGAACAACAGCUUGGCUUGGAGCCGUCAGCCAGUGCCAGGCACCUGAACAGUUUUGGCAACCUCUGCCCCUCUGGACUCCAGACUGAGUCGGACGGGUUCUACUCCUCUCAAAGGCACUGGCCCCCGAAAGGGAAAUGUAGACAAGUCAGCAGAAAUGUCACCCAAGGUUUUAAACCUCAGGUUAUUUAUACAGCUAGGGCACGUUCGUAGCUGUGCCAACGGGCUUGGUGUGAUGUGGUACCGGGACAGUCCUGAGAUCUCUCUGCAUCGCUCCCGGAGAGCCGCUGUGUUCAGAGAACACCUUCAAUUCUGCAAGUGACUUCCUUUAAAGACUGCCAACUAUAUUAGUAAAUAAACUGAACUCUAAUGAUGUAACCGAAGUCGGUUUCCUUCCCUUCUCCAGCGGUAACGUUUCGCAAGGUGUGUUUUAG